GGUGAACGCUGGCGGCGUGCCUAACACAUGCAAGUCGAACGGAAGUAAGUGCUUCGGUAUUUACUUUAGUGGCGAACGGGUGAGUAACGCGUGAGGAACCUGCCUCAAAGAGGGGGACAACAGUUGGAAACGACUGCUAAUACCGCAUAAGCCCACAGGUCGGCAUCGACCAGAGGGAAAAGGAGCAAUCCGCUUUGAGAUGGCCUCGCGUCCGAUUAGCUGGUUGGUGAGGUAACGGCCCACCAAGGCAACGAUCGGUAGCCGGACUGAGAGGUUGAACGGCCACAUUGGGACUGAGACACGGCCCAG
rnacentral:rRNA from 1 species